rnacentral:rRNA from 1 species
UUAGUACCCGGAGGAAGAGAAAGAAAAUUCGAUUCCCUUAGUAGCGGCGAGCGAAACGGGAAGAGCCCAAACCAACAAGCUUGCUUGUUGGGGUUGUAGGACACUCUAUACGGAGUUACAAAGGACGACAUUAGACGAAUCAUCUGGAAAGAUGAAUCAAAGAAGGUAAUAAUCCUGUAGUCGAAAAUGUUGUCUCUCUUGAGUGGAUCCUGAGUACGACGGAG